rnacentral:lncRNA from 1 species
AGAACCUCCCCGACCUGCAGUUUUGGGGAAGUUCUCUGCCCAGCUGUCUGCAAGGAUGGGUUUCACUCUCCGGGUGGUUCACAGAGACACAGCCAAAACUCCUGACAUCUCGGUCUCUCUUUACUGGUUUUUAAAAACUAUCUAUCUAUGGAUCUGUGGUUAAUUCUUUUGGCUUAAAUAGAGUGUGUGCCUGUGUGCACAGCUUUUGUUUGCCCCAGUACACACACACACACACACACACACACACACACACACACACACACACAUACACACACACACACACACACAGAGUUUAUACAUUGUUGUAUUCUUGGACAUGUUUCCAUCUUUGAGUGUGUGUAAGAAUUCUGGGCUCUUUUGCUUUCCUUUCCCUUGGGUGUAACUUUAAAGAAGAAAGUUGGACCAACCUAGAUAAAGGAAAAGGACUGUUUCAAGAUAAGCCUUUAUUGCAUUUUAUUAUGUGAAAAAUCACUACUAUCCUUUUGUUGUUGAAGUUUUGAGGUUGAGUCUUGCCCUACAGCCCAGCCUGGUCUAUGUAGCCCUGGUUGUCCUCACACUUGACGAGGCCCACCUACUUGAGCCUCCCAAAUGCUAGAAUUAGAGGCACGAACCAUACUGGGCUCUCCAAUACCUUUAUGAAUGAUUCGUGAGAGGAAGUUUCUUAAAGUCAGAGCCAAGGGGAUUAUAGAUGUUUAUACCCAAGCAAAUCCUUACAAGAAACCCAAGAAGCUGUGAGCGGGGGACCGACCUUCUUAGCCAAGGAGGAAACAGGAAAGGCUAAACCAUAUGACUACAAGAAAAUGGUAAAACAGCCAUAAGAUGCCCAGCAGUGGUGGCAUACACCACUAAUCUUUUAGUCCCAGCACUCAGGAGGCAGGUGGAGCUCUGAGUUCAAGACCAACCUGGUCUACAGAGUGAAUCCCAGGACAGCCAGGACUACACAGAAGAAACUCUAAAAAAUAAAAGAAAAACAAAAAACAAAAAGCUCCUGUAAGAUUCCAAAACAAAACAAAAUAAACAAACAAAAGGUGUGUGUGAGUGACAGAUAUAACAACGCUUUAAAAGUU